rnacentral:tRNA from 2 species
GCGUGGAUGGCAGAGCGGUCAAUUGCAUGUGGCUGUAAACCACACGCCUUCGGGCUACGGGGGUUCGAAUCCCUCUCCACGCACAA